ACGUCAGAUUUUAAUACAGCGCUAUCUGAGGGGGUUUUGCACACAUUUCUUUUUACUCUCUUUUAACAAACAGAACCACACAGACUUUGGAAUCCUUCAAAAAAAAACCUCGUCAGUACACACGGCUCAUCACUGCAUCCACAAACAAGGUCAGACUGCAAAUAACGUCCAGAAACGCACGCAGACUUCUCUGGACUCAAACUCAUCUGAUUUGGUCUGAUAAACACGACACAAUAACGUAAAACAUUAAAUAUUUAUUUCUACUGUUUUCAGUUUAUAAUACCAGUAAAAGCCAGUUUGAACUAUAAGCAAAAUAUAAAUAAAUAAUUAUUAAUCUGCAAUGUUUAAGUAUUUGAACAGAAUUUAAAGACUGAAGAGUGUCGAGCUGAAAGCUUUUGGAUGUUGGAUGAUCAGACUUGUUUAGUUUUCAUUGUUUAGCUGAUGAUGAGAAAUAAUAAACUGAUGUGUUCUGUGUCUGAGCUUUAGGAUUGCAGGGAAUGAAGAGCAGAUCUACACCAGGAAGCUGCUGGUUCAUCCCUCUCUGUAAGUACAUGAUGAAGUUGAUGAUGAAUGGAAUGGUGGCUGUAAUGUCCAUGUUGAUGUUUAUGCAGAAGGUUUAUUAGAUGAGCUGGACGAUCACAUGACGGCGUACUCACCUUUCCCAGCGGAGGAUUCGGAUCAGCACACGGGGAACCUGGAUGUUCAUCAUUCUGUAAGUUCAAGUAAAUAUUUAUUAUUAAGAUUAAUAAUCAUUAUUGUACAUCAUUACUUUACAUGUGCCUUUAAGUCCUUGCAGGUUUUGCCUCCAAGUUCCUGUAAGCUUUUAUUUUGUCUUCGAACCCUGAAAGCUUUUAUUUCCUGCUUUGGGGUUCUACAGCUUUUAAGGGGGACUUGUCCGACGCUUCAAGACUUGGGGGCUUUUAUUCUUUCGCCUUUAGGGCCCAGGGUGCUUUCACAUUCUGCACCCUGGGUUCCGGGGCUUUUACUUCUUCCGCGUCUGGUCUCUGGGGGCUUUAUAUACUAGUUUACCUCUGGAGUCUUGGCGCUUUUAGGGCUGUUACUUCUUCACCUUUGCUGUCUAAUAUGUACUCAGCAGCUGAAGAAUUAACGCCCUCAAAGCCUCAAACUCCCACAAGCUGUUAUGAAUAAAAUUUGGGAACUAUUAAAUAAAGCUUCUUUCUCUUUAUUUUUAUUUAUAAUUUUAAUGUCACAAGUAAUACAAGAGUAUUAAAGCAGCUGUGAAAUGUGUAACUGUGGCAGUAAAACAACACAACCUUUGGAUUUUCAUAAGAUCACACUUUGUUUUGUUUUUUACUUAAUUGUUAUAAACUAGAAUUGUCAUGAUGUGAAUGAGGUUUAAGAUAGCAGAAAAUUGUGAUGUUUGUUUUAAUCACUAAACUAAAAGGACUGAAUAAUAAAGCUCUACUGAUUAUAUUUACUGUGUAAGUUCACAUGAAAAUGUUCUCUCACCUGUCACAUAUUUACACAGUGGAUCGUUAAGCUCUAAUGAUUAUGCUUUUACUGUUUAAGUCAAUCAUUCAAAUGAACUAAUUUGUUUGUGUCUGGGGUCCUGAGGGUGUUUACUCUUCUAACUCUGGUAACUUUUAUUUAGAUUCUUCUGCCUCUGAUUAUUAACAGUAUUUAAAUCAUAUUACGGUAUAACAGACAGUAAAGAGUAUAACUUAGAUCUUAAUGAUCCACUAUGUUUGUAUUUUGGAUGAAGGUUUACACUUGUUUUUAUUUUCUAAUGUCAGUGUCAUUUUUACUGUUAUACAAAAGUAUUAAAGCAGCUGUGAAAUGUGUAACUAUGUGGCAGUAAUGAAACACGACCUUUUGGAUUUUAAUAAGUUCACACUUUUUUUCAUUUCUUAUUGUUAUAAACUGAUGAAUUGUAAAUUGUUGAUUAAUAGAAUUGUUAUGAAUGAUGUGAAUGAGCUUCAAGGUUGCAGGAAAUGGUGACUAAAUGACGUGCUGGUAACCUCUCUUUAGUCACCCAACAGUCCUUCUACAUGGCGCAAAGUCAUAAAGGACAGACGAUGGAUCACACCAUGAUGAAUCGAAACUAUCACUGAUCACACACACUCACACAUUCAUGCGUUUACACACUCGCACAUCGAGGACUUUCAAUAAUCAUGUUUUUGGAUUACAAGACUUUUUUUUACUGUAAACGGACUGGAUGAUGAAGCUCUGAUUGUACUUAAACAAAGUGUUAUGUUCUGUUUUUAUAAACUGUUUUGUUGAUUGUAUUUUUAAUUGUUUAAUCACAUUUUUACUUGUCUUGCAUUGCUAUGUGUUGUGAACUUGUACUGUAACCCUAUCCAGGUGAAGAACACUGUCGAGCACAAAAGCUGGCAAGGUGGGAAUUUUCCUCCUUAAAUUGAAUGUUAGGAGGUUUCUUGCCCACAUCUGGAUAGGUGAUCAGAAUUAUUGAGUUUAUUAGAAUACAAUCAUACUGAUUGAUAUUUAUAUGGUUGUUUUUCAUGUCUGUGAUUUAUUGUGGUCUUGUCACAAAGUAAAUCAUCUUUAUACUUUAAGUUUAAUUUUUUUUUGUUGAUAACUCAAUAAAUUCAAUAAAAUAAGUAA